rnacentral:lncRNA from 1 species
GGAGGAAGGGCGAGAUCCGUAAAGCCAGAGUUGGAAAGGGACGGAGGGGCGGGGCCCCGGGAAACAGAAGGGGCCGGCCUAUCGGUGGGUAGGGCUGGGGAGGGAGGCUGAGCGAGUUCGGUACACACAGGUUACACGUGUUCGACUGAGUAAUAUAGGGGAGAAAAAAAAGAAGGAAAGAGAAUCCUUACAGGUGCCUGAAGCAGUCGAGACCAAAAAGGGAUAACCCCUGUGACAUUUUACAAAAAUCAAUUAACGGAGGGAAUUGGCCAACAAAAAUGGCAUAGAAGAAAAACAAAAAGUGGUAACACAGGAAGUGUUCAAACUGAAUGUAAACAGAGUUUAAAAAAUAUAGCUGAGCAAGGAAAUGUUGACACUGGAGCCAUUCUGGAGACUCAAGAUGAGCAACCAAAGCAACUUAGUGAAGGAGUGUAUGAGAGUUCCACUGGUACUGCUAUCAUAUCAUAUAGGGACAUUAGUCUUCUUCUGCACUUGGACUGAAACUUACACCAUCAGCUCUCCUGGUUCUCAGGCCUUCAGACUUGGACACAAACUAUACCACUGGCUAUCCUGGGCCUCCAGUUUGCAGACAGCAGAUUGUGGGACAUCUCAGCUUCCAUAAUUGCAUGAGCCAAUUAGUUAUUUAUUUAUAAUAAAUUAAUAUAUAAUCAAAU